rnacentral:tRNA from 2 species
AUGGGCGAACGACGGGAAUUGAACCCGCGCAUGGUGGAUUCACAAUCCACUGCCUUGAUCCACUUGGCUACAUCCGCCCCUACUAUU